rnacentral:rRNA from 1 species
UUAUCGCGCAUUCCCUUGAGUUGAUCAUGGCUCAGGACGAACGCUGGCGGCGUGCUUACACAUGCAAGUGGAGCGACGAACCGGGCUUCGGCCCGGGGCAAAGCCGCGAACGGGUGAGUAACACGUGGAUAACCUGCCCUGAGGACCGGGACAACCCGGGGAAACCCGAGCUAAUACCGGAUGUGGUCACCGUCCACAAGGACGGUGAGCAAAGGAAGCUUCGGCCUCCGCUUCGGGAGGGGUCCGCGGCCCAUUAGCUUGUUGGUGAGGUAACGGCUCACCAAGGCAACGAUGGGUAGCUGGUCUGAGAGGACGAUCAGCCACACUGGGACUGAGACACGGCCCAGACUCCUACGGGAGGCAGCAGUGGGGAAUCUUGCGCAAUGCGCGAAAGCGUGACGCAGCAACGCCGCGUGGGCGAAGAAGGCCUUCGGGUCGUAAAGCCCUUUCAGCAGGGACGAAGCUCCGGCAGCGAAUAGCUGUCCGGAGUGACGGUACCUGCAGAAGAAGCCCCGGCUAACUACGUGCCAGCAGCCGCGGUAAUACGUAGGGGGCCAGCGUUGUCCGGAAUCAUUGGGCGUAAAGAGCGCGUAGGCGGCCAGAUAAGUCCGGUGUGAAAGUCACAGGCUCAACCUGUGAAUGCCGCUGGAAACUGUCUGGCUAGAGUCCGGGAGGGGCGAGUGGAAUUCCUGGUGUAGCGGUGAAAUGCGCAGAUAUCAGGAGGAACACCAAUGGCGAAGGCAGCUCGCUGGAACG